UACGUAGGGUGCGAGCGUUAAUCGGAAUUACUGGGCGUAAAGCGUGCGCAGGCGGUCUUUUAAGCCAGAUGUGAAAUCCCCGGGCUUAACCUGGGAACUGCGUUUGGAACUGGAAGGCUAGAGUACGGCAGAGGGGGGUGGAAUUCCACGUGUAGCAGUGAAAUGCGUAGAGAUGUGGAGGAACACCGAUGGCGAAGGCAGCCCCCUGGGCCUGUACUGACGCUCAUGCACGAAAGCGUGGGGAGCAAACAGGAUUAGAUACCCUGGUAGUCCACGCCCUAAACGAUGCCAACUAGGUGUUGGGGAAGGAGACUUCCUUAGUACCGUAGCUAACGCGUGAAGUUGGCCGCCUGGGGAGUACGGUCGCAAGAUUAAA
rnacentral:rRNA from 1 species